CGGUCCAUCCUAAUUCCUGCCGGUCAGCUGUGGCCUGCCAGGUUUCGCUUGUGGACCAGAGCACCUUAGAAGCCUUUCCCCAAGCACAGCAUUUGUGGGCUUGUGCCAGGGCGCUUCUAGACACCG
ensembl:snoRNA SNORA52 small nucleolar RNA, H/ACA box 52